AUUGAACGCUGGCGGCAGGCCUAACACAUGCAAGUCGAACGAGUAGCGGACGGGAGAGUAAGGUCUGGGAAAAUGCCUGAUGGAGGGGGAUAACUACUGGAAACGGUAACUACUACCGCAUACAAUCAGAAGUGACCAGAUGGGAUUAGCUAGUUUGUGGGGUAACGGAUCACCAAGGCGACGAUCACUAGCUGGUCUGAGAGGAUGACCAGCCACACUGGAACUUAGACACGGUCCAGACUCCUAAGGGAGGCAGCAGUGGGGAAUAUUGCAAAAUGGGCGCAAGCCUGAUGCAGCCAUGCCGCGUGUAUGAAGAAGGCCUUCGGGUUGUAAAGUACUUUCAGCGGGGAGGCGUUACUCGCAGAAGAAGCACCGGCUAACUCCGUGCCAGCAGCCGCGGUAAUUC
rnacentral:rRNA from 1 species